AGAACUUAGCAGAGAUGCUUUGGUGCCUUCGGGAACUCUGAGACAGGUGCUGCAUGGCUGUCGUCAGCUCGUGUUGUGAAAUGUUGGGUUAAGUCCCGCAACGAGCGCAACCCUUAUCCUUUGUUGCCAGCGGUCCGGCCGGGAAACUCAAAGGAGACUGCCAGUGAUAAACUGGAGGAAGGUGGGGAUGACGUCAAGUCAUCAUGGCCCUUACGAGUAGGGCUACACACGUGCUACAAUGGCGCAUACAAAGAGAAGCGACCUCGCGAGAGCAAGCGGACCUCAUAAAGUGCGUCGUAGUCCGGAUUGGAGUCUGCAACUCGACUCCAUGAAGUCGGAAUCGCUAGUAAUCGUAGAUCAGAAUGCUACGGUGAAUACGUUCCCGGGCCUUGUACACACCGCCCGUCACACCAUGGGAGUGGGUUGCAAAAGAAGUAGGUAGCUUAACCUUCGGGAGGGCGCUUACCACUUUGUGAUUCAUGACUGGGGUGAAGUCGUAACAAGGUAGGCGUAGCGAG
rnacentral:rRNA from 1 species